rnacentral:rRNA from 1 species
AUUGAACGCUGGCGGCAGGCCUAACACAUGCAAGUCGAACGAGUGGCGGACGGGUGAGUAACGUAUGGGAAACUGCCUGAUGGAGGGGGAUAACUACUGGAAAAGGUAGCUAAUACCGCAUACCAUCGGAUGUGCCCAGUUGGGGUUAACUAGUAGGUGGGGUAAAGGCGCACCUAGUCGACGAUCCCUAGCUGGUCUGAGAGGAAGGCCAGCCACACUAGAACUGAGACACGGUCCAGACUCCUACGGGAGGCAGCAGUGGAGAGUAUUACACAAUGGGCGCAAGCCUGAUGCAGCCAUGCCGCGUGUAUGAAAAAGUCCUUCGAGUUGUAAAGUACUUUCAGCGGGGAGGCGUUACCCGCAGAAGAAGGCCCGGCUAACUCCGUGCCAGCAGCCGCGGUAAUUC